rnacentral:sRNA from 1 species
GGAGUUCAGACAGGGAGAAACUAACAAAUCAUUCAUUAUUUCUGCAAGAGAUGACAAUGACGAGGAAGGAGAAGAAUUAUUCAUUCUUAAACUAGUUUCUGUAUAUGGAGGAGCUCGUAUUUCGGAAGAAAAUACUACUGCAAGAUUAACAAUACAAAAAAGUGACAAUGCAAAUGGCUUGUUUGGUUUCACAGGAGCUUGUAUACCAGAGAUUGCAGAGGAGGGAUCAACCAUUUCUUGUGUGGUUGAGAGAACCAGAGGAGCUCUGGAUUAUGUGCAUGUUUUUUACACCAUUUCACAGAUUGAAACUGAUGGCAUUAAUUACCUUGUUGAUGACUUUGCUAAUGCCAGUGGAACUAUUACAUUCCUUCCUUGGCAGAGAUCAGAGGUUCUGAAUAUAUAUGUUCUUGAUGAUGAUAUUCCUGAACUUAAUGAGUAUUUCCGUGUGACAUUGGUUUCUGCAAUUCCUGGAGAUGGGAAGCUAGGCUCAACUCCUACCAGUGGUGCAAGCAUAGAUCCUGAAAAGGAAACGACUGAUAUCACCAUCAAAGCUAGUGAUCAUCCAUAUGGCUUGCUGCAGUUCUCCACAGGGCUGCCUCCUCAGCCUGAGGACGCAAUGACCCUGCCUGCAAGCAGCGUUCCACAUACCACUGUGGAGGAGGAAGAUGGAGAAAUCAGGUUAUUGGUCAUCCGUGCACAGGGACUUCUGGGAAGGGUGACUGCGGAAUUUAGAACAGUGUCCUUGACAGCAUUCAGUCCUGAGGAUUACCAGAAUGUUGCUGGCACAUUAGAAUUUCAACCAGGAGAAAGAUAUAAAUACAUUUCCAUAAACAUCACUGAUAAUUCUAUUCCUGAAUUGGAAAAAUCUUUUAAAGUUGAGUUGUUAAACUUGGAAGGAGGAGUAGCUGAACUCUUUAGGGUUGAUGGAAGUGGUAGUGGUGAUGGGGACAUGGAAUUCUUCCUUCCAACUAUUCACAAACGUGCCAGUCUAGGAGUGGCUUCCCAAAUUCUAGUGACAAUUGCAGCCUCUGACCACGCUGAUGGCGUAUUUGAAUUUAGCCCUGAGUCACUCUUUGUCAGUGGAACUGAACCAGAAGAUGGGUAUAGCACUGUUACAUUAAAUGUUAUAAGACAUCAUGGAACUCUGUCUCCAGUGACUUUGCAUUGGAACAUAGACUCUGAUCCUGAUGGUGAUCUCGCCUUCACCUCUGGCAACAUCACAUUUGAGAUUGGGCAGACGAGCGCCAAUAUCACUGUGGAGAUAUUGCCUGACGAAGACCCAGAACUGGAUAAGGCAUUCUCUGUGUCAAUCCUCAGUGUUUCCAGUGGUUCUUUGGGAGCUCAUAUUAAUGCCACGUUAACAGUUUUGGCUAGUGAUGAUCCAUAUGGGAUAUUCAUUUUUUCUGAGAAAAACAGACCUGUUAAAGUUGAGGAAGCAACCCAGAACAUCACACUAUCAAUAAUAAGGUUGAAAGGCCUCAUGGGAAAAGUCCUUGUCUCAUAUGCAACACUAGACGAUAUGGAAAAACCACCUUAUUUUCCACCUAAUUUAGCGAGAGCAACUCAAGGAAGAGACUAUAUACCAGCUUCUGGAUUUGCUCUUUUUGGAGCUAAUCAGAGUGAGGCAACAAUAGCUAUUUCAAUUUUGGAUGAUGAUGAGCCAGAAAGGUCCGAAUCUGUCUUUAUCGAACUACUCAACUCUACUUUAGUAGCGAAAGUACAGAGUCGUUCAAUUCCAAAUUCUCCACGUCUUGGGCCUAAGGUAGAAACUGUUGCGCAACUAAUUAUCAUUGCCAAUGAUGAUGCAUUUGGAACUCUUCAGCUCUCAGCACCAAUUGUCCGAGUGGCAGAAAAUCAUGUUGGACCCAUUAUCAAUGUGACUAGAACAGGAGGAGCAUUUGCAGAUGUCUCUGUGAAGUUUAAAGCUGUGCCAGUAACUGCAAUAGCUGGUGAAGAUUAUAGUAUAGCUUCAUCAGAUGUGGUCUUGCUAGAAGGGGAAACCAGUAAAGCCGUGCCAAUAUAUGUCAUUAAUGAUAUCUAUCCUGAACUGGAAGAAUCUUUUCUUGUGCAACUGAUGAAUGAAACAACAGGAGGAGCCAGACUAGGGGCUUUAACAGAGGCAGUCAUUAUUAUUGAGGCCUCUGAUGACCCCUAUGGAUUAUUUGGUGUUCAGAUUACUAAACUUAUUGUAGAGGAACCUGAGUUUAACUCAGUGAAGGUAAACCUGCCAAUAAUUCGAAAUUCUGGGACACUCGGCAAUGUUACUGUUCAGUGGGUUGCCACCAUUAAUGGACAGCUUGCUACUGGCGACCUGCGAGUUGUCUCAGGUAAUGUGACCUUUGCCCCUGGGGAAACCAUUCAAACCUUGUUGUUAGAGGUCCUGGCUGACGACGUUCCGGAGAUUGAAGAGGUUAUCCAAGUGCAACUAACUGAUGCCUCUGGUGGAGGUACUAUUGGGUUAGAUCGAAUUGCAAAUAUUAUUAUUCCUGCCAAUGAUAAUCCUUAUGGUACAGUAGCCUUUGCUCAGACGGUUUAUCGUGUUCAAGAGCCUCUGGAAAGAAGUUCCUGUGCUAAUAUAACUGUCAGGCGAAGCGGAGGGCACUUUGGUCGGCUGUUGUUGUUCUACAGUACUUCCGACAUUGAUGUAGUGGCUCUGGCAAUGGAGGAAGGUCAAGAUUUACUGUCCUACUAUGAAUCUCCAAUUCAAGGGGUGCCUGACCCACUUUGGAGAACUUGGAUGAAUGUCUCUGCCGUGGGGGAGCCCCUGUAUACCUGUGCCACUUUGUGCCUUAAGGAACAAGCUUGCUCAGCGUUUUCAUUUUUCAGUGCUUCUGAGGCUCCCCAGUGUUUCUGGAUGACAUCAUGGAUCAGCCCAGCUGUCAACAAUUCAGACUUCUGGACCUACAGGAAAAACAUGACCAGGGUAGCAUCUCUUUUUAGUGGUCAGGCUGUGGCUGGGAGUGACUAUGAGCCUGUGACAAGGCAAUGGGCCAUAAUGCAGGAAGGUGAUGAAUUCGCAAAUCUCACAGUGUCUAUUCUUCCUGAUGAUUUCCCAGAGAUGGAUGAGAGUUUUCUAAUUUCUCUCCUUGAAGUUCACCUCAUGAACAUUUCAGCCAGUUUGAAAAAUCAGCCAACCAUAGGACAGCCAAAUAUUUCUACAGUUGUCAUAGCACUAAAUGGUGAUGCCUUUGGAGUGUUUGUGAUCUACAGUAUUAGUCCCAAUACUUCCGAAGAUGGCUUAUUUGUUGAAGUUCAGGAGCAGCCCCAAACCUUGGUGGAGCUGACGAUACACAGGACAGGGGGCAGCUUAGGUCAAGUGGCAGUCGAAUGGCGUGUUGUUGGUGGAACAGCUACUGAAGGUUUAGAUUUUAUAGGUGCUGGAGAGAUUCUGACCUUUGCUGAAGGUGAAACCAAAAAGACAAUCAUUUUAACCAUCUUGGAUGACUCUGAACCAGAGGAUGACGAAAGUAUCAUAGUUAGUUUGGUGUACACUGAAGGUGGAAGUAGAAUUUUGCCAAGCUCCGACACUGUUAGAGUGAACAUUUUGGCCAAUGACAAUGUGGCAGGAAUUGUUAGCUUUCAGACAGCUUCCAGAUCUGUCAUAGGUCAUGAAGGAGAAAUUUUACAAUUCCAUGUGAUAAGAACUUUCCCUGGUCGAGGAAAUGUUACUGUUAACUGGAAAAUUAUUGGGCAAAAUCUAGAACUCAAUUUUGCUAACUUUAGUGGACAACUCUUCUUUCCUGAGGGGUCGUUGAAUACAACGUUGUUUGUGCAUUUGUUGGAUGACAACAUUCCUGAGGAGAAAGAAGUAUACCAAGUCAUUCUGUAUGAUGUCAGGACACAAGGAGUUCCACCAGCCGGAAUCGCCCUGCUUGAUGCUCAAGGAUAUGCAGCUGUCCUCACGGUAGAAGCCAGUGAUGAACCACAUGGAGUUUUAAAUUUUGCUCUUUCAUCAAGAUUUGUGUUACUACAAGAGGCUAACAUAACAAUUCAGCUUUUCAUCAACAGAGAAUUUGGAUCUCUAGGAGCUAUCAAUGUCACAUAUACCACGGUUCCUGGAAUGCUGAGUCUGAAGAACCAAACAGUAGGAAACCUAGCAGAGCCAGAAGUUGAUUUUGUCCCUAUCAUUGGCUUUCUGAUUUUAGAAGAAGGGGAAACAGCAGCAGCCAUCAACAUUACCAUUCUUGAGGAUGAUAUACCAGAGCUAGAAGAAUAUUUCCUGGUGAAUUUAACUUACGUUGAACUUACCAUGGCUGCUUCAACUUCAUUUCCUCCCAGACUAGAUUCAGAAGGUUUGACUGCACAAGUUAUUAUUGAUGCCAAUGAUGGGGCCCGAGGUGUAAUUGAAUGGCAACAAAGCAGGUUUGAAGUAAAUGAAACCCAUGGAAGUUUAACAUUGGUAGCCCAGAGGAGCAGAGAACCUCUUGGCCAUGUUUCCUUAUUUGUGUAUGCUCAGAAUUUGGAAGCACAAGUGGGGCUGGAUUAUAUCUUCACCCCAAUGAUUCUUCAUUUUGCUGAUGGAGAAAGGUAUAAAAAUGUCAAUAUCAUGAUUCUUGAUGAUGAUAUUCCAGAAGGAGAUGAAAAAUUUCAGCUGAUUUUAACAAAUCCUUCUCCUGGACUAGAGCUAGGGAAAAAUACAAUAGCCUUAAUUAUUGUCCUUGCUAAUGAUGACGGCCCUGGAGUUCUAUCAUUUAACAACAGUGAGCACUUUUUCCUAAGAGAGCCAACAGCUCUCUACGUCCAGGAGGGUGUUGCAGUAUUGUACAUUGUUCGGGAACCUGCACAAGGAUUGUUUGGAACAGUGACAGUUCAGUUCAUUGUGACAGAAGUGAAUUCCUCAAAUGAAUCUAAAGAUCUGACUCCUUCCAAAGGCUAUAUUGUUUUAGAAGAAGGUGUUCGAUUCAAGGUACAGUAAGAAGCUUUAAUGAGAAUGGAAGUUUAUCUUUAAUAUUUACAAAAUAAAUUUCUCUUAGAUGAGCACUCAAGUCCUAGAAUGAAAAAACAAUACUUCCAGCUUAGGUGUUAGACAAAGACAUGAUUCAUUUACUAUGUGACAAGUGCUAUAGUUCUAUUUACUGUGUAUAAAGUGCAACUGGAAAAAUUUACUAUUAAUAGGGUAAAAGAAUAUGCAAAUAAUAAAGAAAAUAUAUGUAUGGCUAUUUUAAAUUUUCAGCACAUUUAAAUUGCAUAUGUCACUUUAUAUUGUGUAUAAACCAUAUAAAAGAAAACUCAAGCCAAUUUUUGUAAACAUUAAGUCCCAGCCAAUCAUUUCCCUUUCACCACAUUUUUGUUGAACAAAAUGUAACUGCUUACUUCAGACUGCUUGUUUGACAACAAGAAUAGUUUAUUGGAGAAAAAAAUGCUGGAUUUGGGAUAAAUAUGAUCUAUACUCACAGUUUACCUUCCCAAACCUCUUUUUCUGUAUAUUAACAAUUUUCUGUUCCUGCUACUAAACUUUAUUUUUUAAAACAGUUUAAGUUUAAAAUGCAGCACACCAACAUGGCACAUGUACACAUAUGUAACAAACCUGCAUGUUGUGCACAUGUACCCUAGAACUUAAAGUAUAAUAAAAAAAAAAAGAAAAAAGCAAUUUGCAGGAUUAUGUUGCAAAUGUGAUUUUUUUUUUUUUUUUUUUUUUUUUUUUUUUUUUUUUUUUGAGACAGAGUCUCACUCUGUCAUCCAGGCUGGAGUUCAGUGGCGCAAUCUAGGUUUACUGCAAACUCCACCUCCCAGGUUCAAGUGAUUCUGGAGUGCAGUGACGCGAUCUCAGCUCACUGCAAGCUCUGCCUUCCGGGUUCACGCCAUUCUCCUGCCUCGGCCUCCCGAGUGGCUACAGGCGCCCACCAUCAUGUCUGGCUAAUUUUUUGUAUUUUUAGUAGAGACGGGGUUUCACUCUGUUAGCCAGGAUGGUCUUGAUCUCCUGACCUCAUGAUCCGCCCGCCUCAGCCUCCCAAAGUGCUGGGAUUACAGGCGUGAGCCACCGCGCCCAGCUAUUCCCAGCUAAUUUUUUGUAUUUUUAGUAAAAAUGGGGUUUCACCAUAUUGGCCAGUCUGGUCCCAAACUCCUGGUGCCAAGUGAUCCGCCCGCCUCAACCUCCCAAAGUGUUGGGAUUAAAGGCAUGAACCACUGUGCCGGGCCUGUGAUUAUUUUGACUCAUUUUUUAUUGUGAAAAAAUACGUGUAAUAUAAGAUUUACCAUUUUCACCAUUUUUAGUGAACAUUUCAGUGGCAUUAAUUAUAUUCACAGCAAUGUACAACCAUCACCACCAUCUAUUUCCAAAAUUUUUCAUCAUUCCAAGGACAAACUCUGUGCCCAUUAAGUAGUAACUCCCUAUUCCUCCUCCCCCUAGUAAUCUCCAGUCUACUUUCUGUCUCUAUGAAUUUGCCUAUUCUAGAUUUUUCGCAUAUGUGAAAUUAUACAGUAUUUACCCUUUUGUGUCUGACUUGCUUCACUUAGCAAAAUGUUUUCAAGGUUCAUCUGUGUUGUUACAGGUAUCAGAACUUCAUUCCCUUUUCACAGCUAGAUUAUAUUUUAUUGUAUGUAUAUACCGUAAUUUUUAAAUCCAGCCAUCUGUUGUGUUGUUUCCACCUUUUGACUCUUGUCAAUAAAGCUACUAUUAUUGUG